CUGACCUCGUGAUCUGCCUGCCUCGGCCUCCCAAAGUGCCGGGAUUACAGGCGUGAGCCACCGCGCCGGGCCUGAUUUCAGUUUCUUCCAGCCCUUCCUAUUGUUAACAUGGGGGUUGUGUUGAAGAAUAUAAAGUUACAAAGUCAAGGAAGUAGGAAACAUUUUUACAAGUAUUAUGUAGCCAUCUUGGUGGGGCUGUGGUGAGGUAGGCUGCAAAUGAUUCUCCUAUUUCUUUCCCUGAGUUCAGAACAUAGGAAUUAGAUUGAUAGACAUCAACAUACCCGCUUUAUUGCUGACUCAUGACAACUAAUGGGAAGACAUGGCUCAGAUGUGCAGCCACAGUGAGCUUCUGAACAUUUCUUCUCAGACUAAGCUCUUACACACAGUUGCAGUUGAAAGAAAGAAUUGCUUGACAUGGCCACAGGAGCAGGCAGCUUCCUGCAGACAUGACAGUCAACGCAAACUCAUGUCACUGUGGGCAGACACAUGUUUGCAAAGAGACUCAGAGCCAAACAAGCACACUCAAUGUGCUUUGCCCAAAUUUACCCAUUAGGUAAAUCUUCCCUCCUCCCAAGAAGAAAGUGGAGAGAGCAUGAGUCCUCACAUGGAAACUUGAAGUCAGGGAAAUGAAGGCUCACCAAUUAUUUGUGCAUGGGUUUAAGUUUUCCUUGAAAUUAAGUUCAGGUUUGUCUUUGUGUGUACCAAUUAAUGACAAGAGGUUAGAUAGAAGUAUGCUAGAUGGCAAAGAGAAAUAUGUUUUGUGUCUUCAAUUUUGCUAAAAAUAACCCAGAACAUGGAUAAUUCAUUUAUUAAUUGAUUUUGGUAAGCCAAGUCCUAUUUGGAGAAAAUUAAUAGUUUUUCUAAAAAAGAAUUUUCUCAAUAUCACCUGGCUUGAUAACAUUUUUCUCCUUCGAGUUCCUUUUUCUGGAGUUUAACAAACUUGUUCUUUACAAAUAGAUUAUAUUGACUACCACUCACUGAUGUUAUGAUAUUAGUUUCUAUUGCUUACUUUGUAUUUCUAAUUUUAGGAUUCACAAUUUAGCUGGAGAACUAUUUUUUAACCUGUUGCACCUAAACAUGAUUGAGCUAGAAGACAGUUUUACCAUAUGCAUGCAUUUUCUCUGAGUUAUAUUUUAAAAUCUAUACAUUUCUCCUAAAUAUGGAGGAAAUCACUGGCAUCAAAUGCCAGUCUCAGACGGAAGACCUAAAGCCCAUUUCUGGCCUGGAGCUACUUGGCUUUGUGACCUAUGGUGAGGCAUAAGUGCUCUGAGUUUGUGUUGCCUCUUUUGUAAAAUGAGGGUUUGACUUAAUCAGUGAUUUUCAUAGCUUAAAAUUUUUUUGAAGAACAGAACUUUUUUUAAAAACAGUUAGAUGCAACCAUAUUAUAUAAAACAGAACAGAUACAAGUAGAGCUAACUUGCUAAAGAAAGGAUGGAGGCUCUGAAGCUGUGACUUCAUUAUCCCUUAAUACUGCUAUGUCCUCUGUAGUACCUUAGAUUUCUAUGGGACAUCGUUUAAAAACUAUUGUUUAUGCGAGAGCCUUGCUAAUUUCCUAAAAAUUGUGGAUACAUUUUUUCUCCCAUGUAUAAUUUUCUCACCUUCUAUUUAAAAAGAAAAAAAAAGUCAGUGUAGUAUUUACAUAUUUUACCCUAUAAGGAGCUAACAUAACUUUUGAUUUAGUGUUAUUCAUAAAAUUAGGUUAGCAGUUUAUUAACCUUUUGUAUUUGCUCUGGCAAUGUUUAAUAUCUCAUAAGCUAUACACACCUCGAAGCCAUCAAUGACAACCUUUUCUUGCUGAAUAGAACAGUGAUUGAUGUCAUGAAGACAAUUUUAUCUCCUUUUGCCUUCCAUAAUUUGUACCAGGUUAUAUAAUAGUAUAACACUGCCAAGGAGCGGAUUAUCUCAUCUUCAUCCUGUAAUUCCAGUGUUUGUCACGUGGUUGUUGAAUAAAUGAAUAAAGAAUGAGAAAACCAGAAGCUCUGAUACAUAAUCAUAAUGAUAAUUAUUUCAAUGCACAACUACGGGUGGUGCUGAACUAGAAUCUAUAUUUUCUGAAACUGGCUCCUCUAGGAUCUACUAAUGAUUUAAAUCUAAAAGAUGAAGUUAGUAAAGCAUCAGAAAAAAAAGGUAAACAAAUUGCUCCUGUGGAGAUGAUUGGCAUCACAUGGUGUUUUGAGCUGAUACACCCAACACUUGAGCUCACUGCAACAGUACCAGGACUGCAUAAUAGAUCACCACAAUCAUAACAUCUUAGGACCACAGACAUUUAUGAGAUCAUGGCUUCUGUGGGUUAGAAGUAUGCUCAUGUCUUAACUGGGUCCUCUGCUCAGUCUUAUCUGGCUGCAAUCAAGGUGUCAGCUGGGCUGAAUUUUCAUUUGGAAUCUUGACUGGGAAAGAGUCUGCUUCCAAGGUCAUGAAGUUUGCUGGCAAAAUGUAUGUUUUUAUGACAGUAUGACUGAAAUCCCAAGCUAUCUCCUGACUUUUAGCUGGGUAAUCUCAGGCCCUAAAUGUUGCCUACAGUUCCUAGAGGCUGGUCACAGUUCUUAGCCAUGUGGAUUUCCUCAACAUGGCUGCUUGCUUCAUCAAGUCAGCAAGAAUAGCCUGUCAUAUCAGUGUAUAUCAGGCUCACUCAGGAUAAUUUCCCUACUGAUGAGCCAAACACUAACUGAUUUUAGAGCUUAACUACAUCUGCAAAAUUCUGUUCACCAGAGGCAAGUCAUAUUCAGGGAAAGAGAAGUGUACAAAGUGAGAACACCAAGGUGCAAAAAUCACUGGAGCUACCAUUAUAAUUGUAGUAAUAAAAUUCUCUUCUAAUACUAGGUCUCAAAGUUUCAUUGUGAAUCAAAGUUCAAUUUUACAAAGUAAAAAUUACUUAUUUUGCAUCUAUUGAGAUGAUCAUUUAAGAAACCAUUUGUUACUUGUGUUGAAUUGCAUUACAUUAUUUACUCUUGUUAAUCUAACCUUGCAUUUGUCCGAUAAACUGAACUUGAUUGUGAUAAUACUUUGUUUUUAUUCAUUGCUACUUUUGGUAUGUUGAUAUUCUGCUUAGGACUCUUUUAAUCUGUCUUUUCAUGUGAUGAUAAUAAAGAGAAUUUUCAAUACUUUAA
rnacentral:lncRNA from 1 species